CCUAUACUAUUCGUAAUGCAUAAUGGAUAUAGUCAGGAUGUGAGCUCUGCAUUUACAGGAUUUCUGUUAAUUUAAAACAGUGUUGUGCCAUACAUGUAUCACUGCUUUUAAUGUGGACCUCCAGUUAUUUCAUUCUUUUUUAACUGGGUAGCCCAUUCAGUGGAAUCCACUGGUCUCCAUGGCCCAUGGGGCCCAGUGAUUAAGAGAAGACAGUGUGAAGAAAUUACAGUAUUAGACGUGGGAGGAAAACCCAGUAGAAUAUUAUGACGAAAACCCACAGAAUCUGGCAGGGACUGAAAACCCAAUCCACAUAUUGGCCCAGGUAGGUGGGAUUCAAACCCGGGUCGCAGCGAUGGAAGGCGAGGAAAGUACUGCUACGCCAACCUCACUUGUAAAAUUCCAGCCAAAAUCUCAGAAACCACUUACAUACAUCCUUGGUGAUAAAUAAGGUUGUUUUAAAAUCAUCCCAAAAACGAGAUCUUUCUCUUGUUUUCUCCUGAAAACCGUGGCUUGUGAACAAACACCUAGUGGUUGUGUUGUUUUGGUGUGCAAGCUCUUGUUGCACGUUGGGAUAUAAAGGCAUAGGUAGUUGUAAUUUGGUAACAUUACUGCAUUGAUCUCAUGUUUAUUACAUAAAAGGGUAAUCCAGCACUACGUGUUAAUGCAAUAUGGUAUAAAGCUCAUUGUUGUUCCUCUUAUCCAAAAUUCAAAGUCCCAUUUCAUGUUCCUUUAAUACACAUGGAUUGAGUUUGUUUUAUUGAAGGAAAAUCUCUAUCAAGCAAAUCUCGUCUGACAGCAGUGGAAAGACUUUCAAAAUGGAUUUUAAUUGCCAUUGAGGCGUUCAUAGUUAAUAAGGGAGACAAUUUUUUUUUCUUUUUUGCAUUUCGAUGUGUUUGGACCCUUGCUGAAAUGCUGACUUGUGUUAUCUGUACAUUACUGAAAACUCGAAACCAGCCAGCUUUAAAUUCAUGCCCCUAAUAGGUAUACCUCAGUUCUGUUCUUCAAAACUUAUUUUUUUUUCUCAAAUGUUGCAGUCUUUUUAGCUGAGUUGUGUUUGUAUCCAGAGAAGUCACUGGUAAAUGUAGUAGAGGAUACACACUUAAAAUAUACAGUGUAACAUUUUACCUGCGUAGAAUCAAAGUAGUAGUCAUACAGUGUUGGAGAAAGGGUUAAACAAUUGUCCAUCGUUUGUCGGCGUUAUGUGACCAUUAAACGCUAUUUUGUUUUUAUACAAGAUGGGAUGUAAAUAGUCAA